UCUUCAGAGACUAAAUUUGGUCUGGUUGCAUAGAUGGCGUGUUGAUUAUUGUGACAAUUAUAUUAUGGGCUUUAUUAUGGCGUUUUGCUGUUAAAAGUUAACUUAAGCUAUCUUUUCUUCGAAAAUUACCAAUGAAUUCAUAGUCUGAUAACUGAAAACUUACAGUCUGAAUGUCGUGCAGCCGGCUUUCAACUAUUUUGUUCAAACUCAUUGUAUUCUACUGAAUGUGCCAUCGAAAUGAUACAGGAUUCAUCUUAAUUAUCGGCUGUUUCUAUUGGACUUGCUAGAUCACCAACCCCAGCAUGGACCAAUCUCUCAUUCCAGCUUCUAGAGAAUCUUGGAUAACUGAUUGGCGGUUUCAUGUGCAAGUUCACUUGUCAUGUCAGUCUUAUAUGUUUUAAAAGAUCUAAACUCCAGGUUCCUAAAUUUGCAUGGCAGACUUUAUGAGAAUUCAUGUCCUUUCAAGUAAGUCAACAAGGUCACUUGUGUACUAACCUGUUGGCUGCUACCCUUGAAUCUCCCUUUUUACUUUCUAAAGCGGGCCAUCUUAAUUUGAGGGUAAUCCUUCACUACUUUUCAUGGACUUCAUCCACUGGUGAAAACCGACGAGCGAAUGCUGUAAUCCAUGACUGAUAAAUUGUUUAAUCGUUAGAUUAAAUUAUAAGUGCAUAUCUGGGCUCCCUUCUUUUCUGUGGCCCCGUUUCCCUAACUAACCACUAACCAACGCCCACCGGUGGUCACUCACCCGCUGUGAAACCAGG